rnacentral:rRNA from 1 species
CGGACGACGCUGGCGGCGUGCCUAACACAUGCAAGUCGAGCGGGGUUGAGGCGAGAGGUAACUCGAGCUUCUACCUAGCGGCGGACGGGUGAGUAACGCGUGGGCAACCUGCCUCAAGGUUUGGGAUAACAGCCCGAAAGGGCUGCUAAUACCGGAUAUGCCUAUGGCCUCGCAUGGGGCUAUGAGCAAAGGGGAAACCCGCCUUGAGAUGGGCCCGCGUCCCAUCAGCUAGUUGGUGAGGUAACAGCUCACCAAGGCGACGACGGGUAGCCGGCCUGAGAGGGUGACCGGCCACACUGGGACUGAGACACGGCCCAGACUCCUACGGGGGGCAGCAGUGGGGGAUCUUGCACAAUGGGCGAAAGCCUGAUGCAGCGACGCCGCGUGAGCGAAGAAGGCCUUCGGGUUGUAAAGCUCUGUCUGGAGGGACGAAGGAAGUGACGGUACCUCCGGAGGAAGCCACGGCUAACUACGUG